UACGUAGGUGACCAGCGUUGUCCGGAUUUACUGGGCGUAAAGAGCGCGCAGGCGGUCGUUCAAGUCGAGUGUGAAAGCCCCCGGCUCAACUGGGGAGGGUCAUUCGAUACUGAUCGACUUGAAGGCAGGAGAGGGAAGUGGAAUUCCCGGUGUAGUGGUGAAAUGCGUAGAUAUCGGGAGGAACACCAGUGGCGAAGGCGGAUCUCUGGGCCAUUACUGACGCUGAGGAGCGAAAGCGUGGGGAGCGAACAGG
rnacentral:rRNA from 1 species